rnacentral:lncRNA from 1 species
CAAUGGAGCAAUCUCUCUAAACACCCACGCACACACAGACACUUGAUCUAGAGUUGUGAAAGUUGAAACUCAUGACUUAAAAGAGGAGUACAGUAGAGUAUAGGCUACUUGAUUUGAUUACACAGAAUGAAGAGAAUAAUAUGAUAUUAUGCGCAUAAUCUUGAAGGUCUGAAUUGUUUUUUUUAACUGUGAUACGAGGACACGACGAUACGACAAAAGAUUUGAGAGUGGAGAGAGAGAGAGAGAGCGCGCGCGCGCGAGAGAGAGAGAGAGAGAGAGAGAAACAGGUGUAUCCACUUUUCAGUCACGCUGCAACCCAGAGCAACAACGCUGCGCUUGAAAAGAGCACCGGAGUAAUCAACUUUGUCAACUCACUGAAAAUGAAUUUCCAUGGUCUAUCCUGGAUAUCUAAAGUGUACACUUGACAAUUGCACUGUGCAUCUGCUGACUCAAGGCUUCUGUGAGUAUUUCUUUCUUUGGUUUAUCGUGGAGGAAGAUCUGCGCAAUUUAAUCCUUUCACCGCGCCUGUCAACUUCAGGGCAGCCACGGUUAACCGUCUACGGCAUGUGUGAUAUCACUUCUAAAUGAUCUGGACAUAUGCGGGAAGGACACUUGGCACCCUAAAUACACAGCAAUCUGUGCUAUAAGACGGACAGCCAACUGUAACAAUUAAUCGAUUUUCACUGGACGCUAAUGAGGACUCCGGAAUCUGUCAAUGGGACUGGGAAUUUAAGUUUCUUCAAAAUAUCUGAAGACGGAGCGAGAAAAUGCUUUAAUGAAUGGUAGUAAUUGUCUUCAAAGCAGGAAUUUAGAGACGUUAUAGACCAGAAGUAAUUUACUUUUCUCAACAUAACCCUGGGAUAAGGCUGUUGCGCAAAGUCUGGAUGAUGCUGUCAAGCCGAAUUACACUAAGGCUGUGCGUCUAUGGAACACUGAUGGUGUGUGUUUUGGGGGAGUCUUUGCUGCCCCUCAUCUCUGCGGUCCCCCAGCGAACUCUGGCAGAGGCGGAGACGCGGUUGCCAUGCCGAUACAGCGGGGAAGAUAAGGUGGUACAGGUGGGAUGGAGCCGAGUGAGGGCCAACGGCGACAUCGAACAGAUCAUCAUCUACGACUUUACUGAGGGUGUAAAAGGUGAGUGCAAGUCUGUGUGGGUGUGUUCAUGUGUUUGUGUGUGUGUGUGUUUGUGUGUGUGGGUUUGUCUCCUGGACUCAUGCCACAUCAGGGCCAUACCAAAUCUUUUGUGAGCACACACCU